ACCCAUGUUUCCCACCGGCCCACCCAACAGGCCGCCGCCCUCCUCCAAUCGCGCAGUCGGCUACCCCCUCCUCCAAUCGCGCUGUCGGUCGCCCCCACCUCCAACUGCGCCGCCGCUGGCCCCUACCACCACCGUGCUGCGGCCAGGCCCAAUCUUCAACCACGCCGCCGUCGAGGCCCGACUUCCAAACGCGUCACCGCCGGGCCCCUACCUCCACUCACGCCGCCGCCGGGCCCUGAUAAGCGGCCCUCCGGCUAACCACAGCUUCCCCUCCCGCCGCACGCGCCCUCCGGCCAACUACAGCCACCCCACCCCGUCCCGCUCGUCUCCCGGCCAACCAUCGCCUCCCCAUCCCUCUGACGUCGACCUGCAACUGGUGGUGGUCUCGACCUGCAGCAGGGGGCGGUCUCGACCUGUAGCUGGUCCGUGCUGAUAGGGAUCAUCUUCUCUUGUAGAGAUCCAUUGACGUUCCUUGCUGAUGGCUGCCCGAGCUAUGAGAAUAAUCGGCCUCCAACCGCCUCGGCCGCGCACCAACACGCCCACCUGCAGUUCAGCAAAAUGUUUGUGAAAAAAAUGUAGUGAAACAUUGUGCUCUCAAGAGUGUUUGAUAUGCUCAAAAAAAGUGUUUUGAUGAAUUGGUUUAUUUGAAGUUCAAAUUGGUUUGUUGAAGAAGGUCGACUCUAUCCUGGACAGCACACAGCCUCCUCCCAGUGGGGCCCAUCAAGCUCAGGUUGUUCGUCGCUGCCACCUCCGGCCGUUCAACUACGCAGCGCUAAGACGUUCACCGCCAUCAGAAACAGCGACGAGCACGAAGACACCCUCUCAUGCUCAGUGCUCUGUCCGGCAUAACACAAGAAGUUCAUGUAAAACAGCUGCGAACAUUCAGGUACAUCAAAGAAUAUACUCAUGUGUGCAUAUAGAUGAGUUCUCACCUACCCAUUUUGCUCUCGAUGGUGCUGCUGUAGUUCAGCUUGAGUGUGUGAGAGAGAUUAGUUGAUGUUGUUAUCCUUGUUUUUUCUGAGAGAGAUUAGCUCGCCCCUCCUCCAUCGAUGGCCUACACCGUCCGCUAGAACCCGUCCAGGUGCUGGCCGUCAUCCUCUACCUUCAAUUACGGGUCAGCAACAACGUUGCGAAUAGAAAGGGCCCUGUGAAGUUCAAUUUGUUUUGCUUUCCGAAGUUUAGUUUGUUGAUUUUCUGAAGUUUGGAUUGUUAAUUUUUUGAAGAGAAAGGUUGAUUCACUUGCACUCCUCUAUCUAGUGGUGAUAUCCUCGACUCCUCGGUUUGGAGCUAGCAGCGGUUCUUCAACUUCCCUGCUGUGUUGUCGCGAUUGUUGCAGAGACAAAUUUUAUACUUUGUUCAUCUACGGUGCCAAGUUGAGCGGACACCGUAGCGCUCGAGAAGAUGGGGAGAGGAUGUGUGGUGAAGAGAAAACAUAGGGUUUCAAAUUGUCCAUUGGUGGUAGCAUCUAAUCAUUUUACCAAAGUGUAAUGGACAUGUGUAUGUAUGUACAGUAGCAUAUUUUACUCAAACCGAGUUAUUUUUUUAAUGCACGAAGUUUGUCCAGCCAAAAAAACAUGUAUUAAACUGGUUUUUGUGUAUUUUUCUAACCUUUUCUACACCUUUCUA